AACGAACGCUGGCGGCAGGCCUAACACAUGCAAGUCGAACGCAUCGCAAGAUGAGUGGCGCACGGGUGAGUAACACGUGGGAAUGUAUCCUUUGGUUCGGAAUAACGUCUGGAAACGGACGCUAAUACCGGAUGAGCCCUUAGGGGGAAAGAUUUAUCGCCGAAGGAGCAGCCCGCGUCUGAUUAGGUAGUUGGUGGGGUAAAGGCCUACCAAGCCGACGAUCAGUAGCUGGUCUGAGAGGAUGAUCAGCCACACUGGGACUGCGACACGGCCCAGACUCCUACGGGAGGCGGCAGUGGUGAAAAUUGGACAAUGGGCGCAAGCAUGAUCCAGCCAGGCCGCGUGAGUGAUGAAGGACUUCGGGUUGUAAAGCUCUUUCGCACACGACGAUGAUGACGGUAGUGUGAGAAGAAGCCCCGGCUAACUUCGUGCCAGCCGCCGCGGUAAAAC
rnacentral:rRNA from 1 species